CGGCGAACGGGUGAGUAACACGUGGGAUAACCUGCCCUGAGGUGGGGGAUAACCCGGGGAAACUCGGGCUAAUACCGCAUGAUACCGAGAGGUCAAAGGGGGCUCGCAAGAGCUCUCGCCAUAGGAGGGGUCCGCGUCCGAUUAGCUAGUUGGUAGGGUAAAUGGCCUACCAAGGCGACGAUCGGUAGCCGGCCUGAGAGGGUGAUCGGCCACACUGGAACUGAGACACGGUCCAG
rnacentral:rRNA from 1 species